GACGAACGCUGGCGGCGUGCCUAAUACAUGCAAGUAGAACGCUGAAGAGAGGAGCUUGCUCUUCUUGGAUGAGUUGCGCACGGGUGAGUAACGCGUAGGUAACCUGCCUUGUAGCGGGGGAUAACUAUUGGAAACGAUAGCUAAUACCGCAUAACAAUGGAUGACACAUGUCAUUUAUUUGAAAGGGGCAAUUGUUCCACUACAAGAUGGACCUGCGUUGUAUUAGCUAGUAGGUGAGGUAAUGGCUCACCUAGGCGACGAUACAUAGCCGACCUGAGAGGGUGAUCGGCCACACUGGGACUGAGACACGGCCCAGACUCCUACGGGAGGCAGCAGUAGGGAAUCUUCGGCAAUGGGGGCAACCCUGACCGAGCAACGCCGCGUGAGUGAAGAAGGUUGUCGGAUCGUAAAGCUCUGUUGUAAGUCAAGAACGGGUGUGAGAGUGGAAAGUUCACACUGUGACGGUAGCUUACCAGAAAGGGACGGCUAACUACGUG
rnacentral:rRNA from 1 species